rnacentral:rRNA from 1 species
ACCGGCGAUGUCCGAAUGGGGAAACCCAGUGUGAUUCGUCACACUAUCGUUAACUGAAUACAUAGGUUAACGAGGCGAACCGGGGGAACUGAAACAUCUAAGUACCCCGAGGAAAAGAAAUCAACCGAGAUUCCCCCAGUAGCGGCGAGCGAACGGGGAGCAGCCCAGAGUCUGAAUCAGCUUGUGUGUUAGUGGAACGGUCUGGAAAGUCCGACGGUACAGGGUGAUAGUCCCGUACACCAAAAUGCACAGGCUGUGAACUCGAAGAGUAGGGCGGGACACGUGGUAUCCUGUCUGAAUAUGGGGGGACCAUCCUCCAAGGCUAAAUACUCCUGACUGACCGAUAGUGAACCAGUACCGUGAGGGAAAGGCGAAAAGAACCCCGGCGAGGGGAGUGAAAAAGAACCUGAAACCGUGUACGUACAAGCAGUGGGAGCACCUUCGGGUGUGACUGCGUACCUUUUGUAUAAUGGGUCAGCGACUUAUAUUCUGUAGCAAGGUUAACCGUAUAGGGGAGCCGCAGGGAAACCGAGUCUUAACUGGGCGUUAAGUUGCAGGGUAUAGACCCGAAACCCGGUGAUCUAGCCAUGGGCAGGUUGAAGGUUGGGUAACACUAACUGGAGGACCGAACCGACUAAUGUUGAAAAAUUAGCGGAUGACUUGUGGCUGGGGGUGAAAGGCCAAUCAAACCGGGAGAUAGCUGGUUCUCCCCGAAAGCUAUUUAGGUAGCGCCUCGUGAAUUCAUCUUCGGGGGUAGAGCACUGUUUCGGCUAGGGGGUCAUCCCGACUUACCAACCCGAUGCAAACUACGAAUACCGAAGAAUGUUAUCACGGGAGACACACGGCGGGUGCUAACGUCCGUCGUGAAGAGGGAAACAACCCAGACCGCCAGCUAAGGUCCCAAAGUCAUGGUUAAGUGGGAAACGAUGUGGGAAGGCACAGACAGCCAGGAUGUUGGCUUAGAAGCAGCCAUCAUUUAAAGAAAGCGUAAUAGCUCACUGGUCGAGUCGGCCUGCGCGGAAGAUGUAACGGGGCUAAACCAUGCACCGAAGCUGCGGCAGCGACACUAUGUGUUGUUGGGUAGGGGAGCGUUCUGUAAGCCUGCGAAGGUGUGCUGUGAGGCAUGCUGGAGGUAUCAGAAGUGCGAAUGCUGACAUAAGUAACGAUAAAGCGGGUGAAAAGCCCGCUCGCCGGAAGACCAAGGGUUCCUGUCCAACGUUAAUCGGGGCAGGGUGAGUCGACCCCUAAGGCGAGGCCGAAAGGCGUAGUCGAUGGGAAACAGGUUAAUAUUCCUGUACUUGGUGUUACUGCGAAGGGGGGACGGAGAAGGCUAUGUUAGCCGGGCGACGGUUGUCCCGGUUUAAGCAUGUAGGCUGAUUGUCCAGGCAAAUCCGGAUAAUCAAGGCUGAGGUGUGAUGACGAGGCACUACGGUGCUGAAGUAACAAAUGCCCUGCUUCCAGGAAAAGCCUCUAAGCAUCAGGUAACAUCAAAUCGUACCCCAAACCGACACAGGUGGUCAGGUAGAGAAUACCAAGGCGCUUGAGAGAACUCGGGUGAAGGAACUAGG